rnacentral:SRP_RNA from 1 species
UGGCUGUCAUGGUCAAAAAGUUAGAAGGUUCUCUUGAGCCCGUGGGCGUCGCUUCACACUCCCACUUGUUCAGUCGUGCCUCGCUCGGAAUUUCGGGUCGUUCAUCGUACUCGUGUGUGCAGACCACGAUCGCUACGGAACGUUAAGCCAUCGGAAGUGAUACUUGAGGGAAGCAAUUCUGCAGAGGCCCUUCCACCCGGAGUUGGCGAUGUGAGAUUACACACUGUCAAGAUAUGCGAAGUCCCAGGCUCGAUGUGGGAAAUCGACUUUUUUUU